UACGUAGGGUGCAAGCGUUGUCCGGAAUUAUUGGGCGUAAAGAGCUCGUAGGCGGUCUGUCGCGUCGGCUGUGAAAACCCGGGGCUCAACCCCGGGCCUGCAGUCGAUACGGGCAGACUAGAGUGCGGUAGGGGAGACUGGAAUUCCUGGUGUAGCGGUGAAAUGCGCAGAUAUCAGGAAGAACACCUAUGGCGAAGGCAGCUCUCUGGGACGGUACUGACGCUGAGACGCGAAAGCGUGGGGAGCGAACAGG
rnacentral:rRNA from 1 species